rnacentral:rRNA from 1 species
GGGCCCGCACAAGCGGUGGAGUAUGUGGUUUAAUUCGAUGCAACGCGAAGAACCUUACCAGGGUUUGACAUCCUGCGAAUCUCUUGGAAACGAGAGAGUGCCUUCGGGAGCGCAGUGACAGGUGGUGCAUGGCUGUCGUCAGCUCGUGUCGUGAGAUGUUGGGUUAAGUCCCGCAACGAGCGCAACCCACGUCUUUAGUUGCCAGCAUUUAGUUGGGCACUCUAGAGAGACCGCCGGUGAUAAACCGGAGGAAGGUGUGGAUGACGUCAAGUCAUCAUGCCCCUUACAUCCUGGGCUACACACGUACUACAAUGCUACGGACAAAGAGCAGCAAGUUCGCGAGGACAAGCAAAUCUCAUAAACCGUGGCUCAGUUCAGAUCGUAGGCUGCAACUCGCCUACGUGAAGGAGGAAUC